GAAAAAUGGACUGUGCCAAUGUUAUUUUUAGAUCGCUUCCGGAGAGCGAGAAAAAUACAGUUAGCGAGAGAAAAAGCAUCGGGAAAAAGGAUGGAAUUCGAACAAAUUGCUAGCGAGAUUGAUGAUGAUGUUUUCAAAAGUUUGAAGAUCGAGUUUGGGAAAGGCAGAGGGAAGCCAGUUACAGGAGGCUUGCAUAGUAAACCUGUACAAAACAAGUCCUGCCUAUUCAUUAAAUACUAAGAACUACAGUAGGCCUAAUACACUUGCUGUUAAGUAUUAAAUUAAAACAAUUCAAACCAUUUCUUUCGGUCGGCAGUAAGUUUGCAUGAACAACUUAAAUAAACAAUCGAUUUAAGUCGUCAGAUUGUAAAUAAAUUUAUUCCUGGAGAUGAACAAAUAAAGUUUGAAAUAU